rnacentral:rRNA from 1 species
CGCUCUUUGUAAAAUAUAAAUAAAGAGUCGUGCCUGCCCAGUGAUUAAUUAAACGGCCGCAGUACCCUGACUGUGCUAAGGUAGCAUAAUCACUUGCUUUUUAAUUGAAAGCUAGAAUGAACGGCUUGACGAAAACACUACUGUCUCUACUAUAUUAACUGGAAACUAAUUUUUAGGUGAAGAAGCCUGAGUAACCUCAAAAGACGAAAAGACCCUGUCGAGCUUAAAAAUAAAAUUAAACCUAAAUUAUAGCAAAACCAAAAUUAAUUUAAUUUUUUGUUGGGGCGACAGAAGAACAAAAGAAGCUUCUUUUAAUUAAAUAGACUGAUAAAUCAUAAAGAUCCGGCAAUACCGAAUAAAAGAAAAGCUACCGCAGGGAUAACAGCGUAAUUUCUUCAGAGAGUCCUUAUUGAAGAAGAAGUUUGCGACCUCGAUGUUGGAUUAAAAUCCCUUUCUGGCGCAGCAGCUAGACAAAGGAGGUCUGUUCGACCUUUAAAAUUUUACA